AAAAACCCCAAAUGCCGCUUCAGGUGACGCAUGAAGAAAUACUUAACAAAAGUGGCAGAAGCGACCUGACCAAAUAAAGCAUGGCCAUGGAAAGUGAUAAAAUACAGCAUGCAGAAUAUUUUGGUAGCUGAAAUGAAGAACGUUUGAUACUGCAAAUCGUCAAACCAUGGCACCGAGGAAAGAGCCAGCAAACAGCAGGGGAAGUGUGGCGGAAAAUUACAGUCUUCACAUGCCAGCCAGGAAGGCUGCUGCUGCUCGACGGGGGCCAGUGCUGUGUGAAGAAGACAGAGGAAUUGGGAGGACGUUUUAGUGCAUAAAUGCCUGUGUGGAAGCAAAGCGGUGGUGUGUGUUGUAUCAGGGGUGGCUAAAGGAACACUUUUGGCCUCUCUUCUUG